UCUGUACACGGUAAUGCUGCUUCGCAGUUGCAUUUGUUUUACUAAAAGAGGGAGAUUUGAACAUUGGGUCUUUCGUGUCCUCUCCAUUCAUGUCCUCUCCACAAAUAAGACUGAAACAAAGGCUAAAAUUUGUUUGCAUCUUGUUUGUGUCUAUGUGUCCGUAUGUGUUAUACAUGUGAGGUAUUUCCUCCACCUCCGGGUGCUAUUGCUAACAUCCAUUUGUAAAGGAGCUCUAUUUAAUGAGUUCUAUUUUUAUUUUAUUUUAUUUUAUUUUAUUUAUUUUAUUCUUUAAAGAUUUUAUUUAUUUAUUUGACAGAGAGAGACACAGCGAGAGAGGGAACACAAGCAGGCGGAGUGGGAGAGGGAGAAGCAGGCUUCCCGCCGAGCAGGGAGCCCGAUGCAGGGGCUUGAUCCCAGGACCCUCGGAUCAUGACCUGAGCUAAAGGCAGACGCUUAACCACUGAGCCAUCCAGUCAAAAUAAUGAAGAAGAGGAGGAAGACAGGCCGAUGCUAGAAAUCUGAAAUCCACUCCUCCUCCUCCCCAAGUACAGGCACCAGAACCGAUGCCCAACCCACUGGCUUCCGGAGGGCUGAAAAGCCACCACAGACAAAGCCUAUUAAGCAGAAGGAGAUGAAGAAAGGGGCGGAGGCGGAGGCGGAGGCGGAGGCGGAGGCGGAGGCGGAGGCGGAGGCGGAGGCGGAGGCGGAGGCGGAGGCGGAGGCGGAGGCGGAGGCGGAGGCGGAGGCGGAGGCGGAGAAGAAAAAAAAGAAAAGGUUCGUCCAAAACUGUAAAUGUAUAUGUGCCCUGGGCCUUACCAAUGGCUCCCUUGCCGCCUCCCCUGCCCCGUUUCUGCACCACUGGUGUGUGUGCCUGGAGUGCUCUACUCCCCUGCCGCCGUCUCAGCCGCCCUUCCCUACCCCCGCCCCCCCGCCCCCCCCCCCCCGGGUGCCAUGGGCUCCCCUUUCUCCUCCUCCUCCUCCUCCUCCUCCCCACCCCCUUAUCAAGGAGCAAAAGCCCUUGCCCUUGGGCCCAAGCCCUUGGGCCACCUCCUUAUGAGGUUUAAAUUGGAGCACCUCCCAAACUAGCAGGAAGGGGCCCGAGGGCUCCGCUGAUCUUAGACCGCCCGCUUCAGACUUUCCCCAAGGAGUCUGAUGGGGGAAAACAAUCGAUUGACUUUUUAGUGGACGCAGGUGCAACUUCUUUGGCGUUAAAGCCAAUUCAAGGUUGUUGGUUUAUUUUAAAAAGACGUGGUUUUGGAGCUAUCAAUGUCACACAUAAUACAAAUAAUCAACUUUGCGUUUCUUUCUUUCUUUCUUUCUUUCUUUCUUUCUUUCUUUCUUUCUUUCUUUCUUUCUUUCCCUUUUUCUUUCUUUCUUUCUUUCUUUCUUUCUUUCUUUCUUUCUUUCCUUUUCUUUCUUUUCUUUGUCAUAAAAGCACUUGGAUUCGGUUCUCCCUGCGUUACAAGCCGUUGGGUGGGCAGUGGAAUGUGCCACGCUCCCGUCACAACAGUGAGCCUGUAUUUGUGGUUAUCAAAAUAUACCUCUCCAUCACCUUUAUAAAAACCAACCAACCAACCAACCACGUUUGGGUGCCUGGGUGGCUCAGUCGUUCAGCGUCUGCCUUCGGCUCAGGUCAUGAUCCCAGGGUCCUGGGAUCGAGCCCCGCAUUGGGCUCCCUGUUCAUUGGGGAACCUUCUUUUCCCUCUGUCCCUUCCCCUGCUUGUGUUCCCUCUCUCGCUGUGUCUCUCUCUGUCAAAUAAAUAAAAUUUAUGAAAUAUAUUCAUACAUUUGCCAAUCUAAAGAAUUCUGGUGUAAUAGAGAGUGCGCCAUUGGUUACUACUAACGUUUCACCAGAGACUGAGAUUUCUAAGAAUUAAAAUUCUGCCACAUGGAAUUGGGACUGCUACAAAAUGAUAACAAAAACAACUCCGUGUGUGGGAAGGUAGGAGACGUGUAAAAGAGGUACAAGAAAUGAGAAAACAUUUUUUUUGUUGAGGGAAAAGGAAGUAAUGGUGUACUGAAACGGGACUGGGUACUUAAAGAAAGAAAACUUUAAGACCGAGUCUGAAUGAAAAAGGAAAUUGUGGAAGGGGUUUGUGAAGGAGAAUUUUUGAAAAGGAAUUUUAUGCAUGGUCAGGACUGACUGAGCUUGGGAGAAGGCAGUUUGAAAAGCACACUGGUGGAACUGGAGGGUAUUAUGUUGAGCGAAAUAAGUCAAACAGAGAAAGACAUGUAUCCUAUGAUCUCACGGAUAGGAGGAAUUCUUAAUCGCAGGAAACAAGCUGAGGGUUGCUGGAGUGGGGGGUGGGGUGGGAGGGAUGGGGUGACUGGCUGAUAGACACUGGGGAGGGUAGGUGCUCUGGCAAGCGCUGUGAAUUGUGCAAGACUGUUGAAUCUCAGAUCUGUACCUCUGAAACAAAUAACGCAAUCUAUGUGAAGAAGAAAAAAAAAAUAGAAGAAGGUAGCGGGAGGGGACGAAUGAAGCGGGGGAAAUCGGAGGGGCGGACGAACCAUGAGAGACGAUGGACUCUGAACAACAAACUGAGGGUUCUAGAGGGGAGGGGGGUGGGAGGAUGGGUUAGCCUGGUGGUGGGUAUUGAGGAGGGCCCAUUCUGCAUGGAGCACUGGGUGUUGUGCACAAACAAUGAAUCAUGGAACACCACAUCUAAAACUAAUGAUGUAAUGUAGGGGAUUAACAUAAGAAUAAAAAAAAGAAGAAGAAAAGCACACUGGUAUAAGAUUGAGAUUUGGGUUUUCUAUGUUAAAAUGACAAGGUUUUCUUGGAUUGUUAGUGUACUCUUUUUUUCUUUCUUAAGAUUGUAUUUAUUUAUUUGACAGAGAGAGACACAGCGAGAGAGGGAACACAAGCAGGGGGAGCGGGAGAGGGAGAAGCAGGCUCCCGGCCAAGCAGAGAGCCCGAUGUGGGGCUCGAUCCCAAGACCCUGGGAUCAUGACCUGAGCCGAAGGCCGACAGACGCUUGACGACUGAGCCACCCAGGCGCUCCUCCGAGAUUUUAUUUUUUAAAUAAUCUCUACACUGAACGUGGGGCUCGAACUCACAACCCUGAGAUCAAGAGUCGUGCUCUCUACCGACUGAGCCAGCCAGGUGCCCCUGGACUGUCAUCUCGAAGAGACACAUGCGUAGACUCAGAUAUGGCCCUGCUACCAAAUACUGGCUGUCUCUGCAGAAGUCUGGACUCAAGGUCAACUGAUAAUGGCUGCAGCCUAUGAAGAAGCGAGGUCCUGAUUCCUUACCUGAGAAAAGGAGCCUAAGACCCCAUCCAGGUUGUACCAGCUCUCAGAGCAUGCCCACAGCCUCUUCUCCUUGUCCUCAGAUAACCUCCUGACAUCAGGGACUCAGUUUUGCCUCAUUCAGAUGUCAGGUCUCCACCCCGAAGUAAACAUGGGAAUCUAUGGUACAUAUGUUUCCUGAAUAUACGUGCUCCAACUUUCGCCAUGAAUAAUCAUAAAUGUCCCUGCCCUUUUCCUUUUUGAAGUUUGAUUGUUUGUUUUUAUUUAUUUAUUUCAGAGAGAGAGACACACAGAGAGAGACAGAGACAGAGAGAGAAACACACAGAGAGAGAGAGAGACAGAGAGACAGAGAGACAGAGAGACAGAGAGACAGAGAGCUUGCACGCAUGGGUGGGUGGAGGGGCAGAGGGAGAGGGAGAAGACUCCCCAUUGAGCAGGGAGCCCCAGAGGGGUGGGGCUCGAUCCCAGCACCCUGAGAUUAUGACCUGAGCUGAAGGCAGAUGCUCAACCGGCAGCCACCCAGGCGCCCCUCCAUUCCAUUUUUUUUUUUUAAAGAGAUAAACAUU